AAAAAAAACACAUAAAUAUAUACACUACACAUACCUUAAAAUUUUGGAGAGAGCCGGUACUUCAAAUGGUUGCUCAAAAUAUUAUACAGUGAAUAGUGUAGAUGCAUGAAACUAGUGCAAGAAAUGAGAGUUGGAUUGGUGUAUAUACAGCUACUAGACGCUAUUAUAUUUAGAGACUACCUGCUGGAUAGAGGACUAGCUUGACGCUACCAAUGGUAGCGUCUGAUGACAGUGCGUCAGCUGGGUGCUCCUAGCUGGUUGCCUCUUCUCUUUCGACAAGUGGUGCAGAUUUUAUACUGUUGACUGCAGCUAGACUCCACCAUGAGUAGCACCUAGCUGCCAACUCUCUUUCUCGAACAGUGUACUGUUGAGUGCAGCAAGACUCUACCAUGGGUAGCACCCAGCUGCCCUGUACUGUUAAGUGCAACAAGACUCUAAUAUGGAUAGCACCCAGCUGCAUCUGACUUUUUAUUUUUUAUUUUUUAUUUU
rnacentral:misc_RNA from 1 species